rnacentral:lncRNA from 1 species
GGCUCCUCUUUGGAAGAGGCUUUUCGGCUUGAGAGUGGGCCGAGGGGUUAGUUCGGCGGCCGAGUGGCUGGUGGUUUUCGUUGGUGGGUGCUAGGGCUGGUGUGAGCAGCCGCCCAGAGGAAGCACCAUGAUUUCGGCCGCGCAGUUGUUGGAUGAGUUAAUGGGCCGGGACCGAAACCUGGCCCCGGAUGAGAAGCGCAGCAACGUGCGGUGGGACCACGAGAGCGUUUGUAAAUAUUAUCUCUGUGGUUUUUGUCCUGAGGAAUUGUUCACAAAUAUCUGUUCUGACCUUGGUCCAUGUGAAAAAAUUCAUGAUGAAAAUCUAAGAAAACAGUAUGAGAAGAGUUCUUGUUUUAUGAAAGUUGGCUAUGAGAGAGAUUUUUUGCGAUACUUACAGAGUUUACUUGCC